AGAGUUUGAUCCUGGCUCAGGACGAACGCUGGCGGCGUGCUUAACACAUGCAAGUCGAGCGGUAAGGCCUUUCGGGGUACACGAGCGGCGAACGGGUGAGUAACACGUGGGUGAUCUGCCCUGCACUUCGGGAUAAGCCUGGGAAACUGGGUCUAAUACCGGAUAUGACCUCCUAUCGCAUGGUGGGUGGUGGAAAGAUUUAUCGGUGCAGGAUGGGCCCGCGGCCUAUCAGCUUGUUGGUGGGGUAAUGGCCUACCAAGGCGACGACGGGUAGCCGACCUGAGAGGGUGACCGGCCACACUGGGACUGAGACACGGCCCAGACUCCUACGGGAGGCAGCAGUGGGGAAUAUUGCACAAUGGGCGAAAGCCUGAUGCAGCGACGCCGCGUGAGGGAUGACGGCCUUCGGGUUGUAAACCUCUUUCAGCAGGGACGAAGCGCAAGGUGACGGUACCUGCAGAAGAAGCACCGCUUACUACGUGCCAGCAGCCCGGGGAA
rnacentral:rRNA from 1 species